rnacentral:tRNA from 1 species
UAUACAAUAUGAAGAUUCUCUUGAGCUUGCUCAAGACUAUUAUUCAGAAAGUUGUUGAAUAA